CACGUAGUUAGCCGUGGCUUUCUAAUUAGGUACCGUCAAGAUGUGCACAGUUACUUACACAUUUGUUCUUCCCUAAUAACAGAGUUUUACGAGCCGAAACCCUUCAUCACUCACGCGGCGUUGCUCCGUCAGGCUUUCGCCCAUUGCGGAAGAUUCCCUACUGCUGCCUCCCGUAGGAGUCUGGACCGUGUCUCAGUUCCAGUGUGGCCGAUCACCCUCUCAGGUCGGCUACGUAUCGUCGCCUUGGUAAGCCGUUACCUUACCAACUAGCUAAUACGGCGCGGGUCCAUCUAUAAGUGAUAGCAAAACCAUCUUUCACUUUAGAACCAUGCGGUUCUAAAUGUUAUCCGGUAUUAGCUCCGGUUUCCCGAAGUUAUCCCAGUCUUAUAGGUAGGUUACCCACGUGUUACUCACCCGUCCGCCGCUAACUUCAAAGGAGCAAGCUCCUUAUCUGUUCGCUCGACUUGCAUGUAUUAGGCACGCCGCCAGCGUUCAUCCUGAGCCAGGAUCAAACUCU
rnacentral:rRNA from 1 species